UACAGAGGGGGCAAGCGUUAUUCGGAAUUAUUGGGCGUAAAGGGCGCGUAGGCGGCCUGGCAAGUGGAAGGUGAAAUCCCUCGGCUUAACCGAGGAACUGCCCUCCAAACUGCUUGGCUUGAGUCCGGGAGAGGUGAGUGGAAUUCCCAGUGUAGCGGUGAAAUGCGUAGAUAUCAGGAGGAACACCUGUGGUGUAGACAGCUUACUGGACCAUUUCUGACGCUGAGACACGAAAGCGUGGGUAGCAAACAGG
rnacentral:rRNA from 1 species